rnacentral:rRNA from 1 species
GAGAGUUUGAUUCUGGCUCAGGACGAACGCUGGCGGCGUGCUUAACACAUGCAAGUCGAACGGGGCAAAGUGAUAGCUUGCUAUUAUGGAGCCUAGUGGCAAACGGGUGAGUAACGCGUAGGCAACCUGCCCUUCAGAUGGGGACAACACCUCGAAAGGGGUGCUAAUACCGAAUGACGUUGCGCUGUCGCAUGACGGUGCAACCAAAGGCCGGGCAACCGGUCACUGAAGGAUGGGCCUGCGUCUGAUUAGCUAGUUGGUGGGGUAACGGCCCACCAAGGCGACGAUCAGUAGCCGGUCUGAGAGGAUGAACGGCCACAUUGGGACUGAGACACGGCCCAAACUCCUACGGGAGGCAGCAGUGGGGAAUCUUCCGCAAUGGGCGCAAGCCUGACGGAGCAACGCCGCGUGAGUGAAGAAGGUCUUCGGAUCGUAAAGCUCUGUUGAGAGGGACGAGAGACAUAAUCAGGAAAUGGGUUAUGGAGGACGGUACCUUUCGAGAAGCCACGGCUAA